ensembl:lncRNA
CAAGCCAACCAAGGAAGGAAACAAGGGGAGGACCUUUCCCGAGGCCUCUGAUUGGUCAGCUUGCACAGAGCGGAGUCCGACGAGGGAAGAUGGCGGGCCGCAGGCUCGCGGGGACCCUCUGAUGGAGCAGUGGGUGCCUGUGACCCCUGAGACCCUCUCAGAGGCGCUGAUAUGUGCCGAAAUGCCCACUCCAAACCGGGCCCCGCACUGUCUGCAGCCACAGAAGAGCUUCCUGUAAGCCAGGCCCUGCCACCUUGCUGUUUUUGCCUCUGUGCCAGCUGACCAUGGACUGAAACUUCUGGAACUGUGAGCUGAAAUAAGCCUCUCCUCCUUGUAGUUGUGGGUAUUGGGUAUUUUGUUUCAGUGAUGAGGAAAGUGAUCAAGACGAGAGAUUUCGCC